rnacentral:rRNA from 1 species
AUUGAACGCUGGCGGCAGGCUUAACACAUGCAAGUCGAGCGGAAACGGCAUAGGCAAUCCCUUCGGGGUGCGCUUAUGGACGUCGAGCGGCGGACGGGUGAGUAAUGCCUGGGAAUCUGCCUGGUAGUGGGGGAUAACUUGCCGAAAGGUAAGCUAAUACCGCGUACGCCCUACGGGGGAAAGCAGGGGAUCUUCGGACCUUGCGCUAUCAGAUGAGCCCAGGCCGGAUUAGCUAGUUGGUAGGGUAAAGGCCUACCAAGGCGACGAUCCGUAGCUGGUCUGAGAGGAUGAUCAGCCACACCGGGACUGAGACACGGCCCGGACUCCUACGGGAGGCAGCAGUGGGGAAUAUUGGACAAUGGGGGGAACCCUGAUCCAGCCAUGCCGCGUGUGUGAAGAAGGUCUUCGGAUUGUAAAGCACUUUAAGUUGGGAGGAAGGGCUCCGGGCUAAUACCCUGCGAGUUUUGACGUUACCAACAGAAUAAGCACCGGCUAACUUCGUGCCAGCAGCCGCGGUAAUACGAANGGUGCGAGCGUUAAUCGGAAUUACUGGGCGUAAACGCGCGUAAGUGG